UCUUCUGACUCCACUUCCGGAUAGGAUGACCAUAGAUUGGAUUCCUAGACUCAUACGCAUUACCUUCUCUCUCCCUCCCUCUUCGGAGGAUGGCUCAUAGCAAGGCAUGUUUAAACUCAGAAUUAUUAUUAUUUUUUUACUUUUAGAAUGAGGACAGCAGAAUUGUCAGAAGUAAAUCUUCAUCCUGGUUCAUCCAAGCCGGGAAUAAAUAGGCAACAUGGAGACUGCUUUGGGAAGAAGGUUACAGUUUAUUGAAGAAGCAGAAAGAUGGUCCUUGCAGGAAGGAGCAGAGGAGAGGAAAGAGAGAGUGAGCACAUAGGCAGUUGACACUGUUUCAUCAGGGACAGACAUGGAACAAUUGUAUAAACACGUGUGGUCGGAUGUUUUAAAAUUCCACCUCCUUUUCCCAUUGAGAUAUCUAUUUAAAAAAAACAAACACAAGAUUGCAUGGUGAAUUAGAUACUGCAUCAGGAUUGUGAUGACCACGGCUAUUUGGGGACACGAUUCUUCUCCACCAAAGGAGGAUUUGAAGGAGAUUAGAUCUCUAUAGUGCUAGGAUAAAAGGAGCCCAUCUGGAAUCAAUGCAAAUAUACAGACGUCUAUCUCUUUUUCAGAAUAAUGACAGCUUUUGCUAUCAGGCUUUUGCAAUCAACAUAGUCCAACAAAUAAAAGCACUCUACAAAUCGAAGAAUGUACAGGAAUGUCUCUUAAUCUUGUCAACAUUACGAUAGGUGGAUUUCAACUUACAGAAUUCCAAGUAAGUUGUUUUCUUGCAGAACUUUCUCGUUACCCAAUUAGGUAACAUCAUACCUGAGGAUCACCAUUCCUGUCAGAGCACCAUAUAACACCAUCAGAGCAGUGAUGACGUUAUCUAACUGGAUCAGGAAACGUCUGCAAGAAAACCACCAAGCUGUGAGAGCAACAAGGACUCCACAAUGCUAGUUUAAUUGACAUGCAUUGGAGAGGUGCCUGAGAUCAACCCAGCCGCUUAAAACAAACCCAUCUUAUCUGCAUCUGAACGCUCCCCUUCUCAACAGAUGCUCAACCCCAUUUCGUAGACUCGACAGAUCCUUGAAAAGAGUGGAACCACACAAGGGAACAAAGCAGAAAAGUCUGCAAAUGAGGAAAAACAAAAGUCAAGACUCAGCGCAGAUUAAAAAGGGGUGGAACUUUCUUUGCAAAGUUACCUUGAUUUUUAUUUAUUUAUUUUUGACCACCUCCCUGCGGAUGCUCUUGAAAGGAGGGGAGCUAAUAUUUUGCAAGGAAGUCAGAGCAACACAUUAGCCGCUUGGCUGCUUCCAAAGAAAGAUGAACCUGCUUUUUAAGAACUUAAAACCUAGAAACGUGGAGCCGGAUCAUUUCGGAGAGCAAAAAUACAGCCAGGUCCUCACGGAAGGACGAGCUGGGUUGGAAAACCAAUCCUAAAAUCCACAUUGCAAGGUGGUUUAGUCUUCAGCAGACAUCCUUUUAAGGAAGGCCUGCUUUUUAAGUAUUGUUCACUCUGACGAUCAAGACGUUUCGUAAAAUGUGAAUUUGCUGAGGCUUGAAAGGGAGCGACCUAUGAAAGGGACAGGAGAGAGAGGAUGAAAAUAUCCAAGACAGAGUUAAGCUGUCUUGGUUUCCAUCUUGAUAAAUGUGGCCUUCCCAAGAAUGUGAAAUGAGCCCAUUUUUAACCCGGUUUCUUCCCCGGCCCUUAGCUGCUGGGGUUAUUGCUUCAGCUUCAAGAGAGAGAAAGUGGAGAGGGGAAGGACAAGAAGCCAGCAAUCCACUAUACUGCAGGGAGAAUCGGCGUCAGGGUAUGCAAAAUAUUUUUCCUAGAAGCAACAACCAAGGAUGGAUGAAAUGCUCAAGGUUUCCCUCUCACUGCCCUCCAGGGCUCCGAUGUGGCUAGAAAAAUCAUAAUCACCACGAGAAAUGCCGCAAAACACCACCGUGCACAGUUUCACCAAAGAGAGAGAAAGAGAGAGAGAGAAAUGAGCAAACACACAAGUACAGGCACCACAGCACAACACAACUGUCCUGCAGGGCAACAAGCUUCAGAGGAGGAGG